rnacentral:rRNA from 1 species
AGCGAACGUUAGCGGCAGGCCUAACACAUGCAAGUCGCACGAGAAUUCGGCUUCGGCCGAUAGUAAAGUGGCGGACGGGUGAGUAACACGUGGAUAAUCUGCCCUUCGGCGGGGGACAACAGUCCGAAAGGAUUGCUAAUACCGCAUACGUCAGCGAGGUCUUCGGACCUUGUUGGGAAAGAUGGCCUCUUCAUGAAAGCUAUCACCGAAGGAUGAGUCCGCGGCCCAUCAGCUAGUUGGCGGGGUAAUGGCCCACCAAGGCUAAGACGGGUAGCUGGUCUGAGAGGAUGAUCAGCCACACUGGAACUGAGACACGGUCCAGACUCCUACGGGAGGCAGCAGUGGGGAAUAUUGGGCAAUGGGCGCAAGCCUGACCCAGCCAUGCCGCGUGAGUGAUGAAGGCCUUCGGGUCGUAAAGCUCUGUGGGGAGGGAAGAAACCGGACGUGGAUAAUACCCACGGCUCUUGACGGUACCUCCUUAGCAAGCACCGGCUAACUCCGUGCCAGCAGCCGCAGUAAUAC